CAAAACUCCGCAUUUGAACAGUCAAUAGCAAAUACUUAAACUAAUAACAAAACAUACUUAUAGUCGCCGAUUCAGAAGCACCAGAUUGUCAGAGCAAAGUCGGAAUUGACCCAUUCUUUUUUAGAAAUAUCCUUUGUGCACAGCCAGCCUUGUACUCUCCUAGGUUCACGAAACUGUCGUCCAUAAAAUGCGUUGCACAAAUUCGAACAUUUGGGUUGUGCUGUUCUGUUGUAAAUAAUCGUAAUGAUUCCUAACUGCAUCUACUUUCGGAAGGCCAAAUAAAGUGCUUUUGCUUUCACACAGAAAUACACAGCAUUGCAUCAUAUGACCCCUUUAAAGAAUUCAUUAAUUUACACUACACUACUUUAAACUAACGCUCACUAUAGCACCCCAUGUGGCAAUACUGAGAAUUCAUUGUGUAUUUCCAUUGCAUUGUAAAUGGCAAAUUCUUAUCAAGCCUGUGCAACUAGAGGUGUUUGCAUUCAUGUACUUACAUAGCAUUUUCAGGCCUGUUCUCAAAAAUAGCCCUUUUUAAGUAUGAGAAAUGCCUUUCGGGCAUAUUGUCUGUAAAUGCUGGACAAAUUUGUUAUCUGUUUUGUAUAUGGGUAUAUAUACUAUAGGUAUGUUUGUUCUGAUACAAUCAUGGUGAUUGUAUCAUAGAGGGAGACAUUGAAAAUAACCUAUAUUAUCUUUUGAUGAAAGCAUAAUGUGAGAGGAUUGGAUCUCAGGCUUUUAGUGCUGUAUAUUAACAAGACCAGAGAGCAUUAGAGCAUAAUGAUCCAUUCAGGAGUUCUGUGAUUUUUUGCCAUGUCAUUUUCAUUCAACAUUCUGUCGGUAGCUUUUAUAAUAUAAUGCUCUCAGUUAAAAUAUACCACAAAUCUUUUGGCUGCAGACCAUUUUCUUCUUGUAUGCUUCUUUGAGACCUUUUGGUUGAUGUUUCCGAAAUGAGCAGGAACGGUGGCUACAGGUUUGACAAAUUGUCCUGAAAUCUCUUAUCUGCCACAUCUAAAUGGACACACACACAUACACACUCACCUUUAACAGGCAAAUACUGUCACAAUGAUUAUGUCUUAUGAUACGAGAUGAGCUUAUAUAUUCUGCCAUUUUGGUGACAUUUAUGAGGAUUGUGGGAAGCUGAAAAGAACAGUCGAUUGGAACAAUGUCCCAGAAAUCCAGAAUAAUUUGAGCUUUUGCAAGAAUGUUUAAUAGAGGAGAAGCUUUUCAUGCAUUUUUACAUAAUAGCUCAUGAUGUUAUUAGAAAACUCUGUGGAUUUGCACUACUGGUCUGAGAAGAGCUCUAGGAAGUGAAAUGUUGCUGAAUACAUGCUGAUAGGAGUUUGAGAGAACAUGGGAAAUAUUGUUUAGAUAAGGAAAAUAUUUCCCAGGUACGGGAUUUAAAAUGAUUUGUGCAAAUACAGUUUUCUUUCUUCUUCUUCUAACAUUGAUGUAUGUUUCUUUGAUGGCCAUUCAAAGUAGCCAUGUAUUUUGAUAAUAUAUAUAUUUUUGUGACUUACAAAUAUAUUACUGUUAUAUAUAAUUGAUUGAUAGUUUAGAAUUCUUCUAAAGUUAUGGAAAGUCGAGUUAUAUUUUUGCCUUUGAUGUCACAACUCAGUAAAACCACUAGCACAUCUUUUAAAAAUGUAUUUUAUAUUGCUAGAUACAGUAGAUGACUUCAAAACUAGACAUUAACUAAAAAUCAAAAUGUCUAAAUUUGAUUUGAUGGGGUCUUUGACAAGGUAUGCGAAUAUGGGUCUUUAACCUGUGAAUAUCAGGUAAGAUGGUUAGCAGUACAGUAAUCAUACAAAUGCCAUAAUUGUUGAAAUGCAGUACAUUUUGACAGUUUAAUAACCGUCUAUUUUACCUGUCCAUCAUUUACUGUCAUUUUUUUUUUAGUGAUCUCAGUGAAAUAAUCUGUUGAAUAAGCAGCUGGUGUCUCGCUCUAAAAUGAAAACCCUACAUUUAUGAUGAGCUUUUGUGUAAGUCGUGUUUCCAAUGACAACAGCACUGAGAUCAGGUGAUAUUUAGUGUCCCUGUUAUCCGUCUCAACUAAAUGGGAGUGUGUUUAAGGCUGUAGCAGACAGACAGCUGUGUAAAGCGUAUUUGUCCCUCAUGUUCUCCUGUCAUCUGUGAAAACAUAAUUUACCAUCAUACUGCGGGAUAUUGUCAGGCUGUAAUGUGCUGUUGACCUGUUAUUGCUUUAAAAAGGUGGCAUUUUGUUUUUCUCUUGUCCUUAAAUGUCCGACUUUGAGGAGAUUAAUUGUCCUUUAAGCCUUUUUUAGAAAUAAAUCUCUUUUCUUUAUCAUCUGCUUUGUCAUCAGUCUUGAUUUUUUUUUUUUUUAUGACUUUCUCAUUUCAUUAGGUGUGUGUAUGCUUAUAAAUCAUUUCAUGAAAGGAAUACCGGUAUUUGAGAGUAGAUUUAUAAAAUUAUGUUACCAAACUAUUUAGUAUUGACUAAUUAAAACAGAUUUAAUCUGAAAACCGAAGGUUCAUUUUUCAAGAUUUUAAUUAGACAAAAGUGUCCCUAAUUGGUGAACAACCAAUGAUGAUUAUGAGUUAUACCAGUAUUCUGCUCUCACAAUAUCAACUGUUUUAGUAUUAGGUGAUUUAGUCUCAAAUUUCACAGCAUAUCUGUAAUUAAAAAGGAGAUGGAAAAGGUGUAAAGGAACAAAAGAGAGAAUGAGAAGACCUCUAUUCUCCUGUAGGAUUUUUCUCAGCUUAUUAAUAUUAAAUGAAAGUCACAGUACAGCAGAAGCUCAAUCAUAUUCUAGGCUGCUGCAGUUGUCAGCAAACCUUUUCCAACUUUUACAAAUAAAGAGCCUUGCUUCUACAUAAUUAGGAAAAAGUAUUCUCAGGGUCACAUGGAUUCUACUCACGCUUGAGGCUUUUGGGGAGAUAUACACUGUUAGACAUUUCUGUAAUUUCCAGUUACUUACUGUAUAUCACCCAGUGUAAUACUGCAGAUUCCCUUAACAGUAAAUAACUGUAAUACCCUUUGCAUCAUGGGAAUUUUCAGUGACGUCAGACCCCACAUACAGAGACUUACUGUAUUUUUUCAAAUUGCUGUAUACUACUGUAACGGUCUGUUUGGCGCCAUUAUACUGAGGUCUUUUAUUUUCCUCAUUUCUUACAUUUGGAUUGACACAAUUUGCCCUAAACCGUGUCUACAACGCCGCAGCAGCUUAGGACUGACUACUGGAUGUGUUACAUUGCUUCUAGUGAUUGGAAAAUCCAUUUGUACUUUGUGUCAGAAACAGCGCGAGCGCUUGCAGUACAUCUGUACAUCAGAAAUAUACCGGGGCAUCACAUUACUGUCCGCAUCCAUUGUAGAUAGUAUAUAUAAUGGGUUCUAUAUUGCUUUUUUAUCGAGUCGGGCCUCGCCCCUCGCGUCCGAGGAAGACAUGGAAGCAGCGAGUUUUUCCUGGGGAUGAACCCGCGAGAGUGGAAGAGCUCCGGAGAACAUCUACGCUGUGUGUCGAUGCACCUUACGAGAGAAUAAAACCAGCAAGCAAGGCAACUGCAAUGAAGCAUCAAGAAAGACAUGAGCAUGCCAGCCAGCCACCCUGAGACUGAUAAUUCAUGAGAAGACAUUUCAGUCAAAGUGGAUGUUGAGCAAAGAUGGUGGCCACGUUUUGGAGCAGCACCUGGGUUUUGCAGAUGGCUAUGUAUUCUUUGGCUGUUUGUCUUUUUCCCCCAUUAUGUUUCUGUUGCCUAAAGAUUCUUUGUAAGGAUGAAUCCAGAGGACACAACAUAAUGCACUGCAAAACGUCCGAAGACAGGAGAAAUGGUGAAGAUGCACUGUUCCAGCAUUGGAAGACUGUAUUUUUAAG